rnacentral:misc_RNA from 1 species
AAGUCGUAACAAGGUUUCCAUAGGUGAACCUGCGGAAGGAUCAUUAACAAUGCCUAAAUCCUUGCGGGUCUCAUUCGUGGGACUUGGCAAGGUAGUACCCUAGGUACUGCCUGGUGUGCAACUGAUUGCAGUUGGUGGGAGCCCACGUAUGGGUAGUGACUCUAGUGGGCAACCACCACACUUGUCCAAUCUUAGCUUCUAGUGAGCUUGACUUGGCCUAGCGAUAGGUCAAACCCAUGGGUAUAUAUACAACUUUCAGCAAUGGAUCUCUAGGCUCUC